UUUGAUGUUUAUAUUUGGUUUGGUCCUAAUUAGUAGAAUGUGUUAGAAAUGCAUGACCACAGAGGCUGGUCAUAAAUGGUGACACAGCAUUCCCCUGGCUUUGUUUCCCAGGAUACUUGCUCUUGGAGCCCACCUGCCCUGCUGGGAGGUGCUGGGAACACCUGGAGAGCCAUGUGCAGCUGUGUGGCCAGCAAUCCCAGCUUUGUUCCCAGCCAGCUGCCAGACCUGGGAGUGAGGAAGCCUUCCAGAAGACCCCAGCCUAGUCCCCAUCUGACAGCGACCUCAUGAGAUAUCCUGAGUGAGAUCUACCCAGCCGAGCCCAAUAAACCCAUG
rnacentral:lncRNA from 1 species